AUGGACCAACCGGUGCUGCGGCCGCCGGACCGGUCGAGGACGUCGUGGCCGGAGCUGGUGGGCUCCUCAUCCUUCGCCGCUGGGUUCGUCAUCGUCUACGACAGGCCCGAUGUGCACGUCGACUUCUUCGUGGCCGGACAGGCUCUCCCGCCGGGGGACUCCAAGCGCGUCGUCGCCUUUACCGACGGCAAUAACACAGUCGUCUACCCACCAUACGUCGGCUAG
rnacentral:rRNA from 1 species